CACAACAAUCUCCUUCGUUCUUGUACACAGGAGUACAGCCGACAUCCUUGUAGUACAUCAAUGGUCCUGGGCACUGCACCUGAGAACAAUCUUCAAUUUGUUUCUGUGAGACUCGUUUCGUUUUAACACGCAAUCACAUAGUCUCUUCACUCGAAGCGAACACAACGAAACAGAAAAAUAGUUGGAGCAGGAGGUUAAUUCUGCCGUGUCCGUCCAUGGUUUGGCUGAUGUUCACAUUGAAGCACAUAGAACUGUCCUGCAUCUUUUAUAUCAACCUUCAAUAUGGAUAGGAGGAGAGGGAAUUGAAUGGAUUAUAAGUAGGAGGAUAUCCGAUAUAGACAGAGAGUCAAUCAUAUAAUAGAUACUAGGAAAUCCAUUGGGGAGUCUAAAACUAUUAGGUUUUGACUAAGAAAAAUAAUUUCUUUUUUUCUCACUUCGCGAAACCAAAUGCAAACAGUAAAUCCCCAUCUGUGUAAAACUGUAUCUUCUAGCUUUCUUAGGUUUAACAUACGGAUUGAUUGCAGUGAAUGGUCAUUUUUAUUAGUUGUAACUGCAACGCUUCGUUCUGCAUUUGCAGUUACAUCUCAUGAUAUUAUCUCAAUGCCAGAGCAAAGUGCAAAAUUGUCUGUUUAUCGUUCUUAAUGAAAUUAAGCUUUUUGUUAAUCGUGUCGCGGACCGGAUUUCACGAGUUAAUGGUUGCCGGAUGCUUUGUACUUGACAAUGGGUAUUGCCAGAAGAAACCUGUCCUUCCCAAGGCUAACUACUUUAUUAAAAUUGUCUUUAUGGAAAUUAUUCUUGUUGCAUUACGUGCGUCUGACUAACCUAAAUUGUUUAAUAGUUUUGCUGGAGAUAAUGUUAAAUACAAGCGCGCCAUUAAACAUCAAGGAAAUGAAUAACUGAAAAUGCAUAUGAUAAUUAUCGAGGAAUAAAAAUCGUUCGCUUAAUUAUCCCCGCACAAGAUGAUCUGCAAUAAUUAUCUUUUCUCUUAAUAUUGACAAUUUUGCCAAAAUUUAUUGUUAUUCAAUUUUUGUAGUAUCAGCUGAAUAAACAAUUAUUUCACGAGUC